rnacentral:lncRNA from 1 species
AUUUAAAUUUUUUAAAUAAUAAAAUGAAAAUGAAAGGAGACUAUAUGUACAAUGUAGGGAUUGGAGAGAUUAACUUUACCAACACAGAAUACUCAAAAGCUAUUAAAAAUUAAAAAUUGGCUGCUGUGGUGGCCCAGUCUGUUAAGCCUUUGACUCUUGAUCUCAGCUCAAGUUUUGAUCUCAGUCAUGAGUUCAAGCCCCACACUGAACUCCAUGCUGGACAUGGAGCCUACUUAAAAAACAAAACAACAACAACAAAAAACACAAAUAACAGGAAAAAAUUGACUACAUUAAUGUAUGAUCUUUUGUAUGGCAAAAGGUGCCAUCAACAAAGUCAGUACAUUAUAAUUUUGGAUGAAAUAUUUGCAAAGGCAGUCAGAGAAGUGCUCUUCAGUUUGACAGGGAAGAGAUAACUUAGUGGCAAAACAUGGCAGAGAAGAUGAAUAGACAAGUUGUAGAGAGAGCAAAUCCAAGUGGCUGAUGAUGGGCCCAUCAAAAAAUGUUUAGCCUUGGUAAUUAUUGGGGAAUACAGAUUAAAGUCAUAAUAUGAGAUAACAGUACGCAGUCAAACUGACAAGAAAUAGGAAUGCUUUUUUGCUGUCCCAAGAUUGUUCUUCCACUCCGCUGGUGGAAACAUAAAUCAUUAGAGCUCUUUCAAAAAGCAAUCUGGCAACAUCUAUUAAAACUUAAAAUACUUAUGCCACUUUGGGAAAUCUUCUCUUAGAAGUAAAACCCCAAUAUAUAAAGGAUGGAUGAACAUAUGUAUUUAUUAUAAAAUUGUUCCUACUGCAAUAAAACACUAGAAUCAAAAUAAAUGCCCAUCAAUAGGGAAAUUGGAAGAGGGGAGAAACUAGUAUAUGCAUUCCAUAGCGUUUAGCCAUUAAGGUGGACAAAUUAAACCAUGCUAGUGGACUUGAAUAGAAGUCUACAAUGUUUUCUUGAGCAAAAAAAGCAAAGUACAAGUGUAUAAAAACGACUCUUUUUUUAAAUCAGUGACAAAAUUCCUCUAGAUGAAUGAUAAACAUGUAUUCAUAUGUGUUUGUGUAUGAUUUUUCUAUGCAUGAAGAAAAGUAUUGAAGAGUAUACAUUUGGUUGGGGGGAGGUGGGUGAUGCAGGUUGGUUCGGAGGGAGUCAGGGAAAAUGAAAGCCAAAUAGAAAAAAAAUUACAUAAAUGAACCAAUUAUAUCUCAGACGUGUGAUUAAGUGAAGUUAUUUGAGUGGGGAGCUAGAACUCUGCUAAUUUGUGGAGAUGUUUGUGGUAUAUUGUUAAGUGAAAAGGGAAAAUUGCAGAAUAAUGUAUAUAAAUCUAUUUUUUUAAAAAAAGUAAGAACCCUGUAUGUGUAUAUAUAUAUAUGCAUGUAUGUUUAUAUGAACAAAGAAAAGUAUGGAUGGAUAUACAGCCAAGUGUUAAUUAACAUUGGUUACUUUGGUGGGGGGGAAGGGGAAAAUAAGCAGUUGUUUAAUUUAUAUAUCUUUCCAUUGUUUUACUUGUUACAACAUACAUUACUUUUGUAAUUUGAAAACAAAAUAAAGGGGGAAAGUGUUUCAAAAUGCAGGAAGCAUUACAAGUGUUUCUGUUUUCUGACAAGCUGGCAGACUGACCUGGUCUACUUGAUUCCUCCAACUCUGUCCUUCUGCUAUCACCAAAGUAAAAGUAAAUGUCUUGGUGUGGGACCCAGGAAAUUUAACAAAAAUCCCCUACCCCUGGACAAGCAGAGCAGGACUGAUUCCAUUUUGUGCUACACCUGCCACCUCCUGUAUGACCCCACAUAACCUGCUUAUUGCUCAAGGCGCUUCCCCACCCUAGUCAAGCCGCUGGGCACACCCUAAUCAGAAAUCGGCUCAUAACAAUGUAACCCUGCUUUGUGCCUGCCAAAACUCCUCGCCAAUUCUGACCAAAGUAAUAGGCCAGCUCAAAUGGAUACUAUAGGGUAAGAUGUAAUUCAAUCGGCCACCUGCGUGUGGACCGACAUGACUGCAACUUUCUGUGUAUCCCAUGGGCCGCUGGCCCCUGUAAAGCUGCUACGCCUCUUAGUCUCAGGGUCCAAGUCCCUGCUCCGCUGUGUCGGGUACACUUGGACCCAAGCUUGAGCUUGUAAAUAAACCCUCGUGUGUUUGCA